rnacentral:rRNA from 1 species
GACGUAGGGCGCGAGCGUUGUCCGGAUUUAUUGGGCGUAAAGAGCUCGUAGGCGGUUUGUCGCGUCUGCUGUGAAAACUCGGGGCUUAACUCCGGGCCUGCAGUGGGUACGGGCAGACUAGAGUGCGGUAGGGGAGACUGGAAUUCCUGGUGUAGCGGUGAAAUGCGCAGAUAUCAGGAAGAACACCAAUGGCGAAGGCAGCUCGCUGGGACGGUACUGACGCUGAGACGCGAAAGCGUGGGGAGCAAACGGG